CAGCAGCCGCGGGAAUGCGUAGGUGGCAAGCGUUGUCCGGAAUUAUUGGGCGUAAAGGGCUCGCAGGCGGUUUCUUAAGUCUGAUGUGAAAGCCCCCGGCUCAACCGGGGAGGGUCAUUGGAAACUGGGAAACUUGAGUGCAGAAGAGGAGAGUGGAAUUCCACGUGUAGCGGUGAAAUGCGUAGAGAUGUGGAGGAACACCAGUGGCGAAGGCGACUCUCUGGUCUGUGACUGACGCUGAGGAGCGAAAGCGUGGGGAGCGAACAGGAUUAGAUACCCCAGUAGUCCCUGUCUCUUAUAC
rnacentral:rRNA from 1 species